UUACUGGGCGUAAAGCGGGCGCAGACGGUUACUUAAGCAGGAUGUGAAAUCCCCGGGCUCAACCUGGGAACUGCGUUCUGAACUGGGUGACUAGAGUGUGUCAGAGGGAGGUAGAAUUCCACGUGUAGCAGUGAAAUGCGUAGAGAUGUGGAGGAAUACCGAUGGCGAAGGCAGCCUCCUGGGAUAACACUGACGUUCAUGCCCGAAAGCGUGGGUAGCAAACAGGAUUAGAUACCCUGGUAGUCCACGCCCUAAACGAUGUCGAUUAGCUGUUGGGCAGCUUGACUGCUUAGUAGCGAAGCUAACGCGUGAAAUCGACCGCCUGGGGAGUACGGUCGCAAGAUUAAAACUCAAAGGAAUUGACGGGGACCCGCACAAGCGGUGGAUGACGUGGAUUAAUUCGAUGCAACGCGAAGAACCUUACCUGGUCUUGACAUGUACGGAACCCUCCAGAGACGGAGGGGUGCCUUCGGGAGCCGUAAUACAGGUGCUGCAUGGCUGUCGUCAGCUCGUGUCGUGAGAAG
rnacentral:rRNA from 1 species